UACGUAGGGUGCAAGCGUUGUCCGGAAUUAUUGGGCGUAAAGAGCUCGUAGGCGGUCUGUCGCGUCUGCUGUGAAAAUCCAGGGCUCAACCCUGGACCUGCAGUGGGUACGGGCAGACUAGAGUGCGGUAGGGGAGAUCGGAAUUCCUGGUGUAGCGGUGAAAUGCGUAGAUAUCUGGAGGAAUACCGGUGGCGAAGGCGGCAUCCUGGACCAUUACUGACGCUGAGGCGCGAAAGCUAGGGGAGCAAACGGG
rnacentral:rRNA from 1 species